rnacentral:lncRNA from 10 species
UUUGGAGCAGGGGCCUUUACAGACAUAAUUAAAUUAAAUGAGGUCAUAAGAGUGGGGCCCUAGUCUGAUAGGACUGGUGUCCUUACAAGAAGAGGGAGAGUCCUCAGAGAGUCCUCUCUCUCGGCAUGGACACAAAAGAAAAGCCAUGUGAGGACACAGAGAGAAGGUGGCUGUCUACGAGCUAGGAAGAAAGGCCUCACCGGAAACCAACCCUCACAGCAGCUCCAUCUUGGACUUCCAGCCUCCGGAACUGUGAGAAAAUAAAUGUUUGCAAUUCAGGGAGCUCCACCCAGCAGCAGCGUUUGACAGAGCUGUUCACUUCCUCUUCCUGGAGCUGUGGCUUCCAGAGCCCAUGCUCAGCAGUUCCCCUCCUUCUUCGACUGCUCCUCUCUUAGGCUCAAAACCUGUAACAAUGCAUGGCACACGGAAGAUGUGAGAAUUUGCUGAAUAACUGAAUGGCACCAUGUUGCCUCACCUAAGGAUAAUGACUAAGAAUAGGAAAAAUUUACUGUGCAAAGAUCAGUUCUUAAUAGCUGUCUACAUCUCAGAACAAAAAAAAUUAGAUGUAAACCAUUGCACAAAGGAUUAGAUGAAAUUUUUUUGAAAAAUCAGACAUUGGAGGCUCAGAGCCACUCAGACAUUGGGAAGCAAGUUUGUCAAGAUGACAGAGAACCGAGGUAAUGGAUUCGAGUGAUGAAACAGGAAGUUCAUUCAUGAGUUUUUGGCCACACCUCCAAAGUGACGACUUAGCCAGAAAUGGGAUAACUGGGUUUCCCUACUUCUCUUUUAUCAUCCUCAAUGAGAGUGACCAAAUAUUAGAGCUAGAUGGAACCUUAGUGAAAAUCUGGCUACUCGUCCCGUCCCACCAGCCUGCCACCCAUUUCAAGUUUGAAGAGACAAAGACACAUGGACCUUAUGUAAUUACUGGGGAUUACCCCAGGAGUCUGUGGCAAAAGUCAGCUUCUUCCCUCCCUGCUUCCCCGCCCUGUCUCUGGUACUUUCUACCAACACUGGGCUGUUUCUGUGAUCACACUUAAGCGUACCUAACCUGCGAAUGCUGUAUAGAAGGUGCUAAUGAACAUGAUUUAGCUUUAACACUCAGUUUUCUAAAGGGACACGUGGGGGCAGCAAAUGUUUAGGCAAAAACAAUUCCAGUUCUAGCCUCUACUGUCUACAUAUGUGUAUACAUUUGGGAAACGUUUGGGAAAGGGAUAUUUGAGAGCUUCUUUUUCUUUUUUGUGGUUUAGUUAUUUGAUGAUAUUGAGAUUGUUUCUGAGCCAUGUGCUUCAACAUCGGAUUGGGGAUUUCAGAAAAAGUUUUAGUCACUGUGAUUCCAUUUAGCUUCCAAAUGUGUCUCUGCUAAGAGACUUAAAAGCACUCAUAAAUAGCACGUGUGUCUUCUUUGCAGUGUUUGCUAAUUUUGAGUCACAUCUUUUUAGAAAAUCAUGAGAUUUGGUGUCACAGAGACUGGAAUAAAUAUAGUCAAACUUAUUGGUGAAGAUUUCCUUUAGCUGUUUUCAUAAUCCAUUUCCAUUGUUAUGAUUAUUGAUGAAUAAAACAUUUUCUUUAGGUAGAUACUUCUUUUUUCCCCCCACCUUGAUUUAAUGUUUCCACUCUUAUUGUCAAGUUUCUUAUUACUCCCUAAUAACUCUCAAUAAAAUAAUGAUUCCUGGGAGAUUAUUCCUGCUUUCCUACUAUCACCUGUUGAUUUGAAAAGACAGAACAAUACCGUAGAAGCUUCACUAAUACAUUGAAAGAUAAAAUGAUAAUACUAAAUACUAAAAUAUGAAAAGUGAUACUAAAAGUGGAGUCCUGGCACUAGUAUUUUUUUUUUUGAGUCUUUAAAUUUUAUUUAUUUAUUUUUGAAUUUUUUAAAAUUAUAUGUUAUGUUCUGGGAUACAUGUGCAGAACGUGCAGGUUUGUUACAUAGGUAUACAGGUCUGGCACUAGUAUUUUGUUGCCACAAAAUAUCAAGCAUGUAUCCAAACUGCUCAAGACACAUUAAAGACACAGGUAAUCUGUAGGCAUAUUCAGGCUUGUAGUUUGCAUUUUUUGGUUUUCUUGUGGCUUUCAGUGCAAGUUGAGGUAAUUCAUGGGAAACAGUCACCAAAGAAGUGCCAGUAUUAGAAAUCCAAGAGCCAUUUCUCUAGCUUCUUCCAGAAUCAAGACUUUAGAGGUAAUUUCUAUCAACACUGGACAUUUCCUGUCUGCAAUUAACAAUGAACACAUAGCAUUAUGUUUAAUUGCAACCUGUUUAAAGCAGAUUGGAUGCUAAGGUUUAAGAACACUCUUCAGUCAAAAAGGUCUUUUAAUCAGGUUUUUAAUCUUGAGCACAAUCUAGGACACAGCAUCAUAGACUAACUCAUUCGAGAAUAGGUGUUGUCAUCUAAUCCUAACCACCCCCACCACCAACAAGCUGAAUAGCUCUGGGCUCAGUAUAUACAUUUGUACUGGGCUCAGUACACACACCUAAGCUGGGUUCAGUAUAUGCCACUUUAUAGUGAGAGGCAUUUUGUAAUGAGAGCUCUGGGUUCACUAUAUACAUUUGUACUGGGCUCAGUACACACAUCUAAGCUGGGUUCAGUAUAUGCCACUUUAUAGUGAGGGCCAUUUUGUAAUGAGAGCUCUAAGGCUCUAAAAUUCUGUGUUUCUGCUAGUUUCUUCCUCAAGAUAAAACUGUGGAACUCAUAGUGAAUUCCCUCUCUUUGGGCAGUUUGAGCCAGGCCGCUAUUUAAUCACAACAUCACAAGUCAGAUUUUUCCUACCUAGUGUUGGCAGUGGAACACACCAGAACUGCUAAGGCCAAGGAAAUCCCAUUUUUUGAAGAGGCUUUCCUUUGUUAGCUUCUCUUUCUAGUAGUAAAGGUAAAAGAAAAAUAGAUGUUAAAGAUAUAAAUAUCUUAGGGGGUUUUUAUUGGUAUAAAUAUUUGUACACAAAAAGAAUAUGUAAUGUAAACUGGAUAUGUAUUUUUUACAUUUUACUUAACCUGAAUUUUACACAAUCUUUGCUUGAAUGCUCC